rnacentral:rRNA from 1 species
CGAAAGCCUGAUGCAGCAACGCCGCGUGCGGGAAGAAGGCCCUAGGGUUGUAAACCGCUUUCAGUAGGGAAGAAAAUGACGGUACCUACAGAAGAAGGUGCGGCCAACUACGUGCCAGCAGCCGCGGUGACACGUAGGCACCAAGCGUUAUCCGGAUUUAUUGGGCGUAAAGAGCUCGUAGGCGGUUUGGUAAGUCGGGUGUGAAAACUCUGGGCUCAACCCAGAGAGGCCACCCGAUACUGCUAUGACUAGAGUACGGUAGGGGAGCGGGGAAUUCAUGGUGUAGCGGUGAAAUGCGCAGAUAUCAUGAGGAACACCAGCGGCGAAGGCGCCGCUCUGGGCCGUAACUGACGCUGAGGAGCGAAAGCAUGGGUAGCAAACAGGAUUAGAUACCCUGGUAGUCCAUGCCGUAAACGUUGGGCACUAGGUGUGGGUCUCAACCAACGAGAUCCGCGCCGUCGCUAACGCAUUAAGUGCCCCGCCUGGGGAGUACGGUCGCAAGACUA